GGUGAGCGGCGUACAGCCAGCUCCUUCCGAACUCCCCCAGGGUGGAAACGCAGCAAGGGUAGGAAGUUGAGCGGUUGGUAUGUCCGUUCACCAUA
rnacentral:SRP_RNA from 1 species